ACGCCUUCUCUCUCUCGACUCAUGUUCUCGGCCUUCCUCUCUACUAGCGCCGCCGCCAGGGCCGCUUCGCCGGCGACCUCGGGAAUGCCCGCCCACAUCUUCCCUUCCUAAUAAAUUAUUGGGUCCGCCUCUGGAUCUGGAGCCCUAGCGGUGUGAUAGGGGGAAGGGGGUCGCUCCGCAGCGCGGCGACCCGACGGGGGCAGCGCGCUCCGCCGUCUGUCCGUGGACGGUGUUCUGGAGCACAGGGAACAACAUCAGGCAUGGUCUGCCAUGGAAUCUUGUUUGAUUUGCAACGCCUUAUACCUGUCCGUAUGUGAGUGGAAGAAGACAUUCAUGAUACAGUAUAUCUUAUCUAUGUGCAAUGCAGAGCUUUCGCUUGCCACUCAGGUUAUAUUCUGUCUAUCUUGAGCCUGUGAAAUGCAACCACCCACAAGAUAUAAAACCCAAAGCAAAGGAUAGCAUUUAUUUGGACUUGCAAUGAUGUUCAAAGUAUAGUGUCACCUAAAGCUGGAAAAUCCAUCAAGGAGGACAACACAUUGAAAAUUCAGGUGUGAUAAUAUAUCCAGCAUCUUUGCAGAAUUUUAAAAGAAUUUUGCAAGGGUAAGGCUGUCUAGAAAUUCCCUUCCCCAGACCCCACCUUGUGUGGGAGCUUUCGCACUGGGUACGCCCUCGUUCAGGUGAUCAGAUCCACAUCAUUUAUUUUUCUCAGGACUGUCUAAAUGCUUUUCAAGCUUGAUUCCCAACUUAUCAAUGGCAACCUCCCCAUUAAAUUGAAAGGUGAAAGGUUAUUCCAUUAUGCAUAAGCUAUCUUGCUUUAUGUGUGUUGAUAUGUUGUUUCCAUCCAGCAUUUUCACUUGUCUUAUGAAGUCGAAGCCUUCCUCUCUGUUCUUUGUUCCAUAACUUCAGGGUCCUUACCAGCUUCCCUUACUUAUCGAUGACUCAAUGUACCCCAGUAAGGAAAUUGAUGUCUUAGAAUGUGUUCAGGCAAAUCAUCUAAUCUUGACCAAAGAUGUAGUAAAGAAUAUAUAGUUUUAAUUUGCAGAAGUGACAUGAACUUUUGCCAAAGUGAAGUUUCAAAAUGCCAACAUUCUUUUCAUAUAUAUAACUUGUGCUGGUAUCUUGGCCUGUGGCAAGUAAGGUCUUCUGCUGACUUGUACAUUACCUUGAUGUCUUAGUCUCUUAGAUCUAUUUGAACAAAGUAUGAUAGCUAAUUGUUAGUACUGUUGGCAAUAAGCUGAAAAGGGAUGAAAGCCCCAAAGGCUGAAACUGAUACACCAGAACAGGAAGUUAUGCUUGGGCAACAUGAUGGACUUCCUUAAGGGCGGGCGGGGGAUGAUGGACUUGAUACUGGAAUUCCUAAUUAUGCAGCUAUAUACAUAUCGAAAAUUAUAAAGUUGUGAACUUUAUAAGUUUGCCAAUUUAAAUUUUGUAGCUCAUGAUAAUAUAUCAUGGGUUCACAAACAUAUUCUUCAAAAUUUAGGAGCAGAGGAGGGUGGGAGAAUCUUCAUGUGUUGAUUGACCAUAUAAACUGUUAGGACAGACGCACUGAAUGAUGAGGUUCAUAUAAGAUGUCCUUGCUCCUCCCUAGUGCACCAUGCUCCGUAGAAAAAAGUUCUAUCCUAAUUUCUUCUUGGGGACGCAUGAAGUUCGCUGGUGGCAAAGUUCUGUGGAAAAAUCAAUUCCAACUAAUGAUAUUCAUUGGUCUUUUCUCUUUUCUUAUUUCUUAAAAAUUCUGGGUGAUUGACUUGUCCAAUCUCAAUUUUAUUCCUUGUGCACUGGUGACAUGUGUCUGUGAUCUGUAUUUAUGGCAUUGAAGGACUCAUUGGGCUUACCAUCUCUUGAGUGGCCUUCCAUCCUAGCAUUAGUACCUUCGGACAAAAAAUCCAGGUUGGGAUAUAUAUUGCCCUCUCUAAUGUUGCAAAGUGUAAUGCUUCUUUCAAUGGAGGUACAGUUUGAUUUGGAGCUGCUGUGCAUGCAUAUUGUAUAGAUGGAUAGAUUGCGUAAGAUUCCGAUUUUCAAUUGCUAAUCAGUGACCUUGUAUAUUGCAUUCGAGCAAAUGUGUAUACUAGCACUUGAUUUGAGCUUGCUACAUGCUAAUAAUAGCUCAUAGUUUUAUACUUAUUUAUGCGAAAGGAUAAUAGUCUUCUUGAGUGAAAAUGUGAAACUCCGACUAUGAUAGCUAUAUCUAGUUUCUGCUAAAAUCUUCCUCAGUAAAAUUUUAGUACAAUUUGAUAAAUUGAUGUUGUGUGCUUCUAAUUUUUAGCUCCAUAUUUUGACUAUUGUCGGGAAUGUCGGUUUAUCAACUAAUCAGGCUACAUUAAAUGUGGAACAGCUGUCCUUGCGAAACACUAGUCUAGAAACAGCUGUAUCUAUGAAAAGCAGGAGGCAGGCGUGAUUGGUAUUAACUUGUUUAUCUGAAUGCGUAAUCUGCAAAGGAGACAUGGUACAGCAUGUUUACGUAUACUGAUAGUGUUGCAUGACACAAAUUAUGAUUUUAGCUUUCAGUUCAUGCAUUCUACUUUGAGCUGGAGAAGUCUUUAGAUUUGAUGUUAAUUAAUGGUGAUGGUUCAUCAUUUGUGCUUAACCCAUGAUGAUUUAUUUUUAUAUUCUAUCUUGUACAGAUAAUAAUUGUUGGGAUAUACAGUGGGGCCUCUGUUGCUGUUCAUUUCCUUAAUUUGAAGCUAAGAUGGAUGUGUGCUUUUCAUAGGGAAUAUUCAUGAUUACUUUGUUGGAACACUGGAACGGAUCAUUAUUUCUUGCCGUGAGUUGUUCGCUCCUUUUGUGUUAACUUACAUUAAAUCCAUUCAACCUUGUGCUGCAGGAGCAAUUCAGUGUGAUGAUUUUGACUCUACGUCCAUUUUAAAUCAACCAUGAGCAAAAAAAAAGCUGUUGACUGUUUCAAAGGCGGCGGCGCCUAGGCGAUAAGGCAUACCCAGCUCGCCUUAGGUUAGGUCGCCUUGUCACCUUUGAAACACUAGCUGUUGAACUAGCAAUAGGCAUCAUGGCUUCUUUUACUUCUGCAUUUUAAGCUAGUCUUUGACAUCAUAGGUGAUUUUAGCUGUUAACCAUGACUGAAUGGGGUAGCGACAGGAAGGACUGGGCUUGCACUAGUAAAUGUGCAAGUGUAUGCAGUAUUUCUAAACUUGGGGUGGCGAUAUGUCCACUCUAGUUCUGCCAUCUGUCCACUGCACUGAUAGUUUCCCAUUAUAGAGAAGGGUUUACUUGGGUAGGAAUUGGUUGGUGGAUGUGCAGAGGCAGCGGUCAUAUGCUCUUCCUUCGUGCGUCCAUUUCUCCUUUUGCAGUGCUUGGUCACCAAACCCAUCAUUUGACCUUGACAUAAGGACAUUAUACAGUAACACGACAGAUUUUGCAUAUGCAGAAUAUGAAAUAACACUUGUUACUCUUAUUUCAAUGGACAUUACUCUUGAAACUGAAUGUUCACUUGCAACUAAAUGAAAAUGGCGCUUUCUUAACAUGAUAUUUGUUUACUGAAAUUUGAGGUAGCUUAGUAGCUAGUAUUUCUCGUAUGUUUGUUUGGCCUGAAUUCGUCAGUGACUUGAUACUGCCACAUUGACCUCUUAAUAAUUGCUGCAUUUGCAAUUUUUUUUGAUAUAUUCCAUAACUAUUUGAUAUGAUCAGCUUAAUUGCUGCCAUUUGUAUGCUGAUCUGAUUAUUUUCUUUUUCCAUGAUGCUUUCGAGGAUGGGACCUCAGGUUGAUUGAACAAGAACAGCUAUCUGCUCCCGAUUAGUAAGGAUCCCGCUAGACUACCUGCUUCAGUUGCAUUGAUUGUACUAAUUCGUGAUGUAAAUAGUGGACUGUAGAUAAGGGACUAAUUGGGAGGGGGACUGUAAUAAUUGGACUAUAAAAAAGUAAACAGUAAUUGAACUAUCGGAAA